GUACGUACAUACACACACACACACACACACACACGAGACAAAUAAUUUAAAUAAUUCCUGUUUUUCUCUGUAAAUUCAGUUAAGAGUGAAUCUAUGAUUACCAUAUCAACUGUUUUACCAGAUAAAGAAAUAAUGAUCUUAAGCAUUUUUUCAUGUUAAAGUGUGAGGGUCACUAACUUUGCUUUCUCUCUAAAAGUCUCCCUAUCCAUAAAUGAACACAGAUGAAACAUGGCCAACCUAACUCAAGACUGUCAGAAUUACAUUAAAUAAAACUUAAUUUCAAACCUUCCAAACUUGUGAAGAUUCUGUUAAGAUACAUAUAAAGUAAUUAUAUUAGCAUUUGACCUUAGAUUUCAAGAUUAAAGUCAAGAUGAACAAAGUCAAGCCUUGGGACUUUCUAAAGACCAGGAAAGUUUUGUUACUCAUGAUGCCUCUUUGAUUUCUAUUACGAAUAUGAUUAAAGAUGCUGGUAUUUCUAUAUCUAUGCAAUCUUUCCUUGAAUGGCACAAAUCAGAGCCACUGUGCUCCAAAUUUUAAGGAAAAAAAUUACCAAGAAAACAUUUAGGAAUUAAUUAUAAACUAGUGCUGUCUGAAGUCUUAAAAACUAUGAAAGUGAUACAUUAGUGGCCAUUUUUUAAAAAAUAUUUUUUAGUUGUAGUUGACCCAACACCUUUAUUUAUUUAUUGAUAUGCAGUGCUGAGGAUCAAACCCAGGGCCUCACACGAGCCAGGUGAGCGCUUUACCGCUGAGCCACAAUCCCAGCCCCACUUUAGUGGCCAUUUUUAAGAACAGUAAAGGACAGGUCAAGAGGUCAAGAGCUGGGAUAUUU
rnacentral:lncRNA from 1 species